GUAUGGGGGACUUUUGGUAUAGCAUUGGAAAUGUAAAUGAGCUAAAUACAUAAUAAAAUAUGGAAAAAAAAAGAAAUAACAAAACAGCGAGGAACGGGUUAUUUACGGUACUCCAGGGGCCCAUAUUUAUUUUUAUUUUUUUUUCCCAGUUUUUGUUGUUGUUAUGGUUGUUCUUUCUAUGGUUUUCUAAGAUUUUAAACAUUUUUUUCAUACUUUCAUGACCAGUGUUAUAUAACAUUAGGAACACGAAUAUAGGUAAACAUUUCAAGCUCUGCAAAUAUUUCUUUAAUCAUUUAAACUACAAGGAGGAGAAAAGCAUGUUGUAAGAUUAGGAACACUGAGAUGUUGCAUUAAGAAAGAAAAAAAUUAAAAAUGAUUUGGAGGUUUACAGUAGCCAAAAGAAGAGGUUAUUUCGAGUAUGGGGUGUAGUGUGAACCACAAUUGUGUGGGCUAAAGGAUCAUACUUUAAAACAUAGCAGUGCUUAUAACAACAAAAGGAAACAGGGUCAUGAUUGUCAUUAACAUAUACUUUGGCUUCUGUUCUUUCUUUCUUAUGAAAAUAUGCACUAUACAGAAUCAAACUCAUAUUAGAAAUUUAUUCAAAUAUGAAAGUAUUUCAUCAUGCAUUUUGAAUUAAAAAAUAGACUCGGCCUGAUGUUCAAAACACAAUCUCACACUAGGGAGAUAGCUGAUUAAAUAACUGAUUAAAAUGAAGACUGUAGUUACAAACUUAGAUUAUUUUUUAAUAUAUAUUGAUUUUUUUUCAAUUACAGAUUCAUAACAUAUAUUUAUUUCACCCAAUUGUCCAUCACAAUAUUUUUAAAGUGUUUUCUAGAAUAAAUAUCUAUUUUAAGCCUUGACUUCUAGUCAUUCAUAUUAACAAAAUAAAGAUAGGAUUCUUGACAUGUAUGUGUUUUCAUUUAUGAAGUUUUCUCUCUUACGGAACUAUCAUUGUAUUUCCUUAACAUUUAAGGUAGGAAGACAUGGUCAAGUAAUGGGCACGUGCCUAUUUCAUUCACUGGGAAAUUGAGGUACAUUUAAAGCAGGUUCAGUCAUGGCCUUUCAAAAGGUUUUUUUUUUUUCCUAAUAUGAUAAAGAGAGAAAUAUUUAAACUACGAAGACAAUGUGAACAAUAUGUUAAUCAAAGGCAUUUUCCAUGUGUUGAGUAAAACUUGUAACUAUAGGGCAAAUUUCUUUUAUGGAUGUAUAAUAAGUAACUCUAUCACAUUUUAUUGGAUAUUUUCUUUAUUUACAUCGCAAAUGUUAUCCCCUUUCCUGGUUUCUUCUCCGGAACACCCCUAUCCCAUGGCCCUCCCCCUGAUUCUUUGAGGGUGCUCCCUCUCCAACCCAUCCACUCCCACCUCCCCAUCCUUGCAUUCCCCUACACUGGGGAAUAGAGCCUUUAAUGGACCAAGGGCCUCUCCUCCUAUUGAUGUCCAACAAUGUCAUCCUCUGCUACAUGUGUGGCUGGAGCCAUGGGUCCCUCCAUGUGUACUUUUUGGUUGCUGGUUUAGUCUCUGGGAGCUCUGGGGGGGUCUGGUUGGUUGAUAUUGUUGUUCUUCCCAUGGGGUUGCAAACCCUUUUAGCUCCUUCGGUCCUUUCUCUAACUUCUCCAUUGGGAAUCCCUUGGCAGUCCAAUGCUUGGCUGCUAGCUUAAGAAGAAGGAAGACCAAAGUGUGGAUACUUUGAUCCUUCUCAGAAGGGGAAACAAAAUACUAAUGGGAGGAAAUACAGAGACAAAGUGUGGAGCAGAGACUCUAUCACUUUUAAUAUCACAAACUGAAAUUUGCAUUCAUCUUUUUUUCAGUAAAAAUAUUUUGUGUGUGUGUGUAUGGUGUGUAUGUGUGUGUGUGUGUAGCAUGCUAAGAAUAGCUAUCUCAAGUUUGGGAAUUUAACAGUAAAACAUUGAAAUUUCUUCUGCAUAUUUGGAGGUACCUUCUAUUUUACUCAAAGAAGCUAGGUGGUGAGACAAAAUACCAAACCAAAAUUACUGUACAGACUAACGAGUUAUAUGCCGCAGAGGGAUAAACUACGGACAUGACACACUGUUCUUGCUCCUUCUUUAGAUUCAGGAGAUUUGAAAAGGUCAUCAGAGGCAAAAGCAAGUAGAGAUUUCACUGACAGGAACUGGAGAGGAAAGACUGAUGGGACAAAUUUUGUUCUAGGCUGACUGAAGAGGAUAGAAAGAGGAUCCAAAAAAGUCACUUGUCUUGCUAAAAGAGAAAGUUUCAUAUACAGAAAGGAGAAUGGAGGGAGAAAGAAGCAGGAGGGAUAGUUCCUAUAAAAUGUGAGGACACAUCUCAAAAUGAACUCUAGGGUAGUACAGAUUCCAGUUUUCAUUCCAAAAUUAUGAGGAAUGCUUUGCGAAUUUUUACAAAGAAGGGAUAACUAGACAUGUUCAAUAAUGUCUGCUGUACAAAGAACAGAAUAUAGGAAGACCCAGACUCAAAAGAAGAUAUUUAAGUCCACUGCCAUACAGCAGAUGUGGUGGUGAUAAAACAAGAUAAAAGGAACAGAGGCAAAGAGUGGAAUCUGAAUGCAUGACACCAUCAGAGAGAGGUUCUUCCUAAUGUACCAUCUGAUAUAGGUGUGUGUACCAACGUGUAAAAAAAUUAUAUAAAUCUUUUUACUAGCUAAAAAAUGAAAUGUGAAACCAUGCAGUCAAAAAUAAUAGAUUGUUAGAAAAUUAAAAUGAAGUAAGGCUGCUUAAUAUUGAGUACUAUUGAACAUAUACUGUGGAACUUUAAAUUGUGCAAAUGCAUUCAGUUGGGACACAAAUUAUAAUAGGUCACUAUAUAUUCCUUACGUGAUAAUAAUGUGUAUAUUCCUUUUGUGUAUAUAAUGGAAUUUUAACAAACACUUUCAUGAGAUGAUUUUAUCACAAACUCAAAGACUUGAAGACAAAAUUCAAUGCAUUGGUCAAGCAGAAGGCUCACCCAGUGUUCAUUUUACUGUUCAAGAUAAACGAUGAGGCAUUUUAUGGAUCUGACACCAACUAUCAUCAUCCUAUAAGAUAACUAUAUUAAGACACAUAAUGAUACCAAACUUAAUCUGUAUACAUCUGCAUCAUUUUACCUCUUUUUAUAUGUUUGGUUUUGAGAGGGGAUCUCAUGUACACUAGGUUGCCUAGAACUUCCUAGAGAGCCAAGGCUGGCUUUGCAUUCCUCACCAUCCUAGCUCCACCUCCAGUGUGCUGGGAUUGCUGUAAUGCAACACCAACAGGAGAACUUUACGAACUCCCUUUAAGUAAAAGCUGUGUGUGUAUUCUAGAAAAAACUCCCUUAAACUUUACUAUGGCGAUAAGCUUCACACUUUGAAGUGUCACUUAUAUUCUCAUUUACAUACUUUAAGUGCAUUUACAGAUAGUAUAUAAACAGGGGAGAGGAAAACCAUUUUUUAUAAAUAAAGAUUCUAUUUAAGCUGGGCACUGGUGUCACAUGCCUUUAAUCCCAGCACUUGAGAGGCAGAGACAGGGGGAUUCCUGAGUUUGAAGCCAGCCUGGUAUACAGAGUGAGUUCCAGGGCAGCCAGGGUUACACAGAGAAAUCCUGUCUCAAAAAAUCAAAAACCACAUCAAACCAAACCAAACCAAACCAAACCAAACCAAACCAAACCAAACCACUAUUCUAUUUAAGAAAGUGUCUGUUGAUAGUAUACAUCUGUGAUGUUUCAAGUCUUUCUCAAGUUUACAGGCUGAACCUUUUCACUGUGAGUUCUUUACUAAAUCCUCCUUUGCAACAUUAAGAAACAAGUCUCUACACUGUAAUCCUGCUUUCAGUGCCCUGCAUUUUUCUGUUGUCUACUA
rnacentral:lncRNA from 1 species